rnacentral:rRNA from 1 species
UAAUACGUAGGAUGCAAGCGUUGUCCGGAAUUAUUGGGCGUAAAGGGCGUGCAGGCGGCGCAUCAAGUCAGAUGUGAAAGCCCCCGGCUUAACCGGGGAGGGUCAUUUGAAACUGAUGGGCUAGAGUGCAGCAGAGGAAGGUAGAAUUCUGGGUGUAGUGGUGAAAUGCGUAGAUAUCCAGAGGAAUACCAGUGGCGAAGGCGGCCUUCUGGGCUGUAACUGACGCUGAGGCGCGAAGGCUAGGGGAGCAAACAGGAUUAGAUACCCUGGUAGUCCUAGCAGUAAACGAUGAUUACUAGGUGUAGCGGGAAAUUGACCCCCGCUGUGCCGGAGCAAACGCAAUAAGUAAUCCGCCUGGGGAGUACGGUCGCAAGAUU